rnacentral:rRNA from 1 species
AACGAACGCUGGCGGCAGGCCUAACACAUGCAAGUCGAGCGAGGACUUCGGUCCUAGCGGCGGACGGGUGAGUAACGCGUGGGAACGUGCCCUUUGCUUCGGAAUAGCCCUGGGAUACUGGGAGUAAUACCGGAUGAGCCCUUUGGGGGAAAGAUUUAUCGGCGAAGGAUCGGCCCGCGUUGGAUUAGGUAGUUGGUGGGGUAAUGGCCUACCAAGCCGACGAUCCAUAGCUGGUUUGAGAGGAUGAUCAGCCACACUGGGACUGAGACACGGCCCAGACUCCUACGGGAGGCAGCAGUGGGGAAUCUUAGACAAUGGGGGAAACCCUGAUCUAGCCAUGCCGCGUGAGCGAUGAAGGCCUUAGGGUUGUAAAGCUCUUUCAGCUGGGAAGAUAAUGACGGUACCAGCAGAAGAAGCCCCGGCUAACUCCGUG